rfam:Oryza glumipatula chromosome 5, whole genome shotgun sequence.
AAAAAGACAAACCCUGAAUUUUCGUGUCCAACUUUCCGUCUUAUAUAAAAUUUUUUUAUAAUUCAUAUUUUUAUUGUUGUUAGAUGAUAAAACAUAAUUAAUAUUUUAUGGGUGACUUAUCUUUUUAAUUUUUUUAAUAAUUUUUUUAAAUAAGACGGACGGACAAAUAUUGGGCACGGAAAGUAAUGUUUGUCUUUUUU